GUGCCCUGGGCAUACUUUUAUUUUUGUGCUUAUCACACUGACCUGUGAUAGCCUCCUGGUCAGCCUCAACUCCCCUUUAUCCCCUACGUGUCCUGAGAGCUCAGAUGGACGGCAUUUGCCCACUUCAGUAUUUCCCAGCACAGUCAAUAAAGGAGCACAUGAGAUGCUUCCCAACCUGUGUGAAUACCCUUCCUGACACAGCAGAGAACAGUCCUUCAUAAAUCCUGUGUCUUUGGAGGGACGUUUUCUGGCACACUGCGGCAGCUGUGGCUUGCAAUGUCUAAGUUACCAGGAUGUCGGUGGGGAGGGCCCUGACCAGGGCGGAGUAGGGGGACCUGCAGCGUCUGGGAGCAUGAAGCCUUGCUGCUGGAGUCUCCAGGCUCGCCAGGCAGGGCUGGGGGUGGCGCUGGGAGGAGCCCAGACAGAUAGGCCCUGAGCUUUGAAGAAAAAUCAAUAUUCAGCAGGGAGUUGAUUGUGUCAUAAACGUCUCGAGUUGCACUGCCACUUCCUGGCCCCUGAGUGGCCCAAGGUGAGCUCUGCUGAGGAGAGAGCUGCCCUGCCUACCCCUCCCCUGCACUGCCUGUCUGAGGUCACAGAAGGAGCAGGAGAAAGGCAGCAGGCAUCUUAGGUGGUAAAGCCACUCAGUGAGCCACAGCAGCGAGGCGAGGAUGGUGGCUCCCUCUUUCUUUCGGAGGUGCAUACAUUCAACAAAUAACUACUCAAUGCCCACCAUGCCCAGUCCUGGGGCCAGGCUCUGGUGAUGCGGCCAGGAGCCCGGCAGACAGUGUGCUGCCUGCAUGGAGUCUACAGUCCUGUGUGGAGAUCAAUGUUGAACGGGGAAAUGAAACAGAAAACUGGCCAAGUAGAGGCUGAUAAGCGUCAUCCAGCAAAGCAAUGAACAGGUCCCUGAAUGCAGUUAACUCAGCGAGUCCUGAGUUCCCCAGGAGGUGGGCAUUCCCAUCUUACCCACGUUGCAGAUGAAGACACUGAGGUAUUGGGAGAACCUGCCCAGGUGAUACAGGUAGUAUGUGGCGGUUGGGGGAUGUGAACUUGAGCUCCUGACCAACUCUGCUGCAUGGGCUGACAACUCCGGCUUCUCCGGGAGAGGGGCAGGGGCUGAGGUGGGGCUUUUUUGUUUUUGUUUUUGGCCUUUCUGAGUCCUCUGUGCUUUCUUCCCAGGUGCAUAGAUGACUUACUUUCAGAAAAUGUCAACAGGGUGCUCUGCAGAGGGGCAUGGGCUUUUAUGCCUUUAUUAUGCUUUUCUGUAUUAAAAGAAAAAUACAGUCAUGUGAUUUUAGAAACUCAACCCAUGGAAGAGAGAAUACUGGGUCUGUAGGAAAUCUGCAAAGUGGGAAAGAUACUUCUGGGCUUGGUGGUGGCACCUUGGAGCCUGCUUACGGAAAUCACCUCUCGUUCCCGUGAUGCUGAAAGCAGAAUGCUGGACAUGGAAGAACCGCGGUACUCGAGCUUCGUCUGCUGCCCCACACCCCACUGGCUGUUGCAAGAGUGACGUUGCCAUUGGUGACUGCAGGUCUCCCAGCAGCCUGGUGCAGAGAGGCCACUUCAGGCUCGAACAGAGGCCCGGGUUUCCACGGGAGACAGCAGAGCCACGGUGUAGCAGGCAUCCAGCUCUCCCCCGAUCAGUUCCGUGACUUGUCGGAAGGCCCUCCCUCCCGGUCAGACGAAGAAAGGACUGGUGGCCUCUGGGGAUCCUGAGCCUGUCUCCAUGGGAACCAGCUCACCCACCCCCUCUCUGGCAAGUGUCCUAGUGGGAGCCAUGGGAAACCAUGGGCUCCAGCCCCUGGCCGCUGACUGGUUGGCGGCCUUCCGUUUUGAGAUCCCUGGCCCAGGGUAAUGGAGGGGACCUCAUCUUACAGAAGACACAGCGAGGGUGUGGAGAGGCUGUGGGGGAAGCACAGCCUGGCCGGCAGCUGCUGGGUGUCCUGGCUUGAGCUCAGGGCACCUUUGUCCCAGGGUGGGACCCUCAGGUCUCAGGGGCUGCUCCAUCCCCGUUGAGGGCUCCCUUCAUUCUUGAUGUCUGUCCACUCACAGAGGGGGCGUCAUGCCUCUCCAAAGACCCCCACAUUCCAGUCCUUGUGUCCCUGAGGUCGGCCUCCUGGCGGCCACCUCACAGGGAAGGCCCUGGACACAGGGCCCUGGCCUAAUGCAGCAUGGCUUCAUCUUAACUAGUUACGUGUGCAAAGACCCUGUCUCCAAACAAGGUCAUAUUUUGGGCUUCUGAGUGGAAGUUGGUUUGGGGGACACUCAUCAACCCAGCACAAUGCUCCCCCUCACCAUGUUCGUUGAAGAGAAGACUCUUGGACACCUGGAGGCCACCAGUCCUUUCUGGAUCCCCAGAGGCCACCAGUACUUUCUUCCUCUGACCUGAAACAAGAGCUAGCAGGGGCUGGCAGGCCGACUGCGUCUGCUGCCAUUUUGAGUACUGGCCCCAGCCGCAAUGCCCAGGACUGAGUCAUGGAGAUUCCCUCAGAAAUGGUGCAACCCAGUCUGUCCACAGAGUGAGGGGCGACAAGCCUGGUGGCCCCGGCUUCAGUGCAGGCCAUCCUUUCCACCUAUUGUCUCCUUUUGGUCUCAUGGGGACCCGGUUCUUGUCCUCUGCCCUGUAGCAUGGCUACGACCCUCAUGGGCCACAAACUUGAUGCCCUCAGGCGGCUAGACUCUACCCCAGAUCCGGGGCUGGCAGCGGCAUGGAUGUGGUCAACUGGCAUGCAGUUGUUACCCAGACACCCUCCCAUCAGCACUUUUUUAGGGGGUGAGUGACAGAAACUCAACUUGGGCUUAAAGGUGAAUUUACUGGUUCCUGUGAUGACAGAGUUCAAGGUUCAGCUGGACCUGGUGCCUCCAAUGACGUCACCAAGUCUGUCUGUCCAUCUGUCUGAGUUCAGCUUCCUCCAGGUCUUCGUUCUCCAGCAGGCCUUCUCCUCAAAGUGGCCAGGUGACUGUCAGCUCUAUGGUUCAUUCUACCAGUUUAUGAAUCUCCCCUCCUCAUGUUGCUCAAAUUCAGCUGUGAGUAAACUCCCAAGCUGAUUGCAGCGUCCAAAGGGAGGGCACUGGUCCCAUGUGCAGCCGGCAACUCUAUGGGUUCAGCUCCACCCAAACUAUAUAGACCACAGCAGGGAAGGAAAGCCAGGGAUGCUAGGAUGGCCAGCACCACUGCAGAAGCCUAUUGAUCCCGUGCAAAAUAGCUCCAGUAAAAGGAGGGCUUUGGGGCCCGGUGUGUUGGCACACACCUGUAAUCCCAGCACUUUGGGAGGCCAAGGCAUGUGGAUCACUUGAGGUCAAAAGUUCUUGACCAGCCUGAUUAACAUGGUGAAACUCCGUCUCUAUUAAAUACAAAAAAAUUAGCCAGGAGUGGUGGUGCAUGACUGUUAUCUGAGCUACUUGGGAGGCUGAGACAGGGGAAUUGCUUGUACCCGGAGGCGGAGGUUGCAGUGAGCUGAGAUCACACCAUUGUACUCCAGCAUGGGCAACAAGAGCAAAACUCUGUCUCAAAAAAAAAAAAAAAAAGGAGAGCUUUGGUCUACAGAAAGUCAGGCACCAUCACAGCAUCAUAGGGACAGGGAUACAGGAUGCAGGUCCCCGUUACAUCCAGGGCUCCAUCCCUCUUCUCUCCAUCCUCCCCAUAGGCUUUUCCUACAGGCCUUUGGUUUUCCCCGGAUGUUGGCUUGCCCCUAUACCAGCACUGCCAUGGAUGUUGGCUUGCCCCUAUACCAGCACUGCCACGGAUGUUGGCUUGCCCCUAUACCAGCACUGCUCUGGAUGUAGGCUUGUCCCUACAAGAUCACUGGCCCGACUUGUCACUCCAGGGACAAUGUGUCCACCCUUGGCCUAGCUAGUCAGAAACUUUUGUCUUCGUGUCAUCGUGUCCAAUCAAGAUGUCCAAGAUCCUUCUCUCUUUAGAGAGCAUGGGGAGGAGGGGCAUUGUGCUGGGUUGAUGACUGUCCCCCAAAUCCACUUCCACUCAGAAGCUCAAAAUAUGACCUUAUUUGGAGACAGGGUCUUUGCAGAUGUAAUUAGUUAAGAUGAAGUCACGCUGCAUUAGGGUGGGCCCUAGACCCAAGGCCUAGACCCAAGGACUGGCGAUCUUAUAAAAAGAGGAGUGGACACAGAGACAGAUGCAGAGGGAGGGCAGCCACGGAAAGACAAAGGCAGAGAGUGGAUGAUGCAGCCGCAAGCCAUCGGAUGUCCAGGGCCACCAGGAGCUGAGGAGGUGAGGAAGGGCACCCCCAGGAACCUUCAGAGGGAGCACGACACUGUCGACACCUUGACUUUAGACUUCUGGGCUCCAGAUCAGCAAGGGAGUAGAUUUCUGCUCCUUUAAGCAUUUUAUGGGUCUCUGCUGCAGGAGCUCAAGGAAACUCAUUCAGGUAUUUAGGACGGUUGUGCUGGGUGGAGACGGACCACACACCGUCUCUGGGCUGAAGGGGCGGGCACCAGGAGCAGGUCCUCAGUCGACCGCAUCUUGGCACUUAGCUUUGGUGACUCCCCCUGGUGCUGCUGAUGUCCUACCGUGGCCUCUAGGGGACUCAGGGUCCUGCACCCCACCCCUGCUCCCUUCCUGCCCUGGCCUCGUCUCACCUCUGCAGUAGCAAGACUUUCUGCAGCCUGAAUCUAGAUUCUCUGCCGCCUCUUGGUUCUUCUCCUUCAAUGUGGGCUCACCAAGGGCCAUGAGGGUCCCCAGGACUGCAAGGGCACACAGAAAACCCACAGAUUCAUACACUGAGAUAUCGCUCUCCUCGUCGACAGGACCUCAAGCCUCCAGGCCCAGCUCAGUCUAAUUCAAUCUCUGUGUCUUUGCUCAAACUCUUGCAAGGAAAUCUGACCACCUUGGCCUGGCUGGGGGCAUCCAGCGCUAUCCCUGGGGUGUGGCCUGAAACCCUUCCUUCCUCGGUAGGACUCAGUCAACCAGGGUUAAGAAAAGGGCACAUUCCUUGGAGAAGCAUGAGGAGAUAAUGCUUCUGAGGACGCUCAUGUAUGUGAACGCUCAAUGCAGACAUAUGGAAAUUAUGUCGUCUACAUUUACCCCCAUCCCUCUAGGGUGGGUGUCAUCAGAUUCCCGUCCCAGUUUGCAGCUGGAGCCUCGGGGCUUGGAUUAAGUGCUUGCCAGUGCUGGUAGAGAAGCCUGUCACCUCCCACCACUCUCAGCACUUGUCCACUUGCCAAGGUCUCAUGGCAAGUAAGUCCUGGCCACCUUGGUCGCCUCUUAGACGAAGUGGCUUGGACUAGAUGCCCUCCUCCGAGGUGAAUCUUGAGCUGAAGCUUCGGUGUGUGCCUGGAGCAUGUGGCUGGGGUGUUCAGCAAACCCUGGGCAGGGAGGACAGGCCAGCCAGACCUCGGGCCCCCAACUGGGCAUCUGCCUCCAUAGGGCAUUCAUCCACUUUGGGGGUCUUUGUGUCCCUAAAAGAGUCUGAAUAUGAAUCCACACUCAAGCAAAACCAUUAAGGAGAUCAAAGCAGCCGCAAUGACACUGGAGGAGGCUCAUGCUCCUGGGAAACCUCAGAGUAAGACGCAUGGGGGAGGUGCUGGCUUAAGGGUCAUGACUGAGGUGAGAGGCUGAGGGCAAUGGACAGAAAGCAGCAUGCAACCAAGUUCAGGUGGCAGGGAAAACAGAGAGCAAGGAGGAAGCAAAACUGUGAGCAAAACAGGCCUUGAGGGGCCAAACAGUCAGCCACAGAUGCCAGGCUCCUGCCCGACCUGCCCCGACCCUGCCUCUCAGAGGGCACCUGCCAUCCUCUGUGCACCCCACCUGUCCUGUCCCAUCUGUGCAGGGCCCCGUCUAUCGCCCCUGAAGGGUCAGGUGCUCCUCACUGGAAGGUAGGAACUGGGCUUCACCAUCUGGACUGUGCAAGGCCUGCCUGGUCAUGAGAGCAAAGAGUUUUCUAGAAGGCUGGCUUGCACACAUAAGUGAAGAACUGCCCCCCAGAAGUAAUGCUUAGGCAAAGAAGGUGGGCAGUGGUGGUGGUCACAGAUGCUGGGGGUGAGCCAUAGGCCUGAGCCAUCCAUUGUGGGGGUCUGAAAGCCCAAGUCUGUGGCUCCCACACACAGAGAUAGACAGUUCCUAGAGAACACCAGAGUCUAGGCCCCAGGGGCUGGGCGUGCCUCAGAGGGCGCCCCAUGCCAGCUUAAAGGCAGCUGGGAAUGCAGCAAUUGAUCAGUGGGUGCUGGGCAGCUCACACCCCCGUGCGGACAGUCUUCUCCAUGGGCCGAGAAGUGUGUCACAUGCAUGCAGGUGCAUAUGCAUGGGGACAUGGGGGCCCAGGAGUCUUCCUACUGCAGAGUUCAAAGAUGCGGGCUGAAGGCAGUUUGGAGAGCGUCCCCUGCCUGUGCUUCUCUUUUAACUCCAGGACCUGAGCCUCUGCUGGGUGGCGGGUGGACGCUGCUCCCAGUCUCCCAUGCAAGGGGCCCCAGAGGGAGGAAAAUGGCAGGAUGGGACAGAGGGACCACGUGAGAGCAGCUUUGGGAUAAAGCUGCCAGAUACACAAAGCAAUAAACAAAAGGGAAAAAGGAAACGGGACUCAACACAAUUCACAAGUCACAAGGUGGUUGGCUCCAAGGAGCAGGUCCCUGGCUCAGCGGGUCCACUGGGGCUCUCUGGGCAGAGGGGCCUGGUGUUUGAGGUCCCCUCCAGAACCUUCACGCUGAGUGGCAAUGACAUUCCAUAGCCUUGAGGGGCAGGGGCGCAAGGCUCAGCACCCUGGGGCUCUGGGGUGGAGGAGGAGGAUGAUCCGGACUGGGGAGGCAGAAAUGGCCCUCCGUUCUUUUCUGUUUCUUCUCACGCCUCCAGCCCCUUGCUGCAGCCACACUGGCCUCAGUUACACUGGCUCCUUCCUGCUCCUCAUCUGUACAGGGCCAGGUCCUGAAUUAGGGGGGCCUUUGUACAUACAGGCACCAGAACAUUCUUCCAGAGCUUCACUGGAGCCUUCCUCUUCAGCAUGACCGUCCCUGGCCACCUGAUCCAGAGCUGGCGGCUCCCAGGCAUAGCCCAUCCCUGCUGCGGCUCUGCACUGCCCCAGUCCUCACCUGCAUGCAGGGGACUAUUCACAUGCUGACCGUCUGUCCAUCUCCCGUAAGAACGUCGGCUCCUUCCACGUCUGCUGGGCGUGGAGGAUCCCUCACAGCCUCCCCGACCUCAGAGCCAUGAGAGACUUGCAAAGCUUGAAACAAACUCUGAAAGGACUCUUCACAGAUAAAUUCCUCCAGGUGCAUGUUUCAAACAAUUUUAUUAUCUAACCCAAGAGUAAGUUAGCAAUCGAUUUCCUAAUCUUUAUUGAUUGGCAGUGGGCAGGCUAGUGUGAUUAAAGAUGUGAGAGAGACUUGCCAAAUAAAAUGCAUGAGCAGCCUUCAUGAGCUUAGCUCCAAUGUGCAGAGUGAUAGGGUCAGGGAAGUGUGUGUAUGUGUGCAUGAUUGUGUGAGAUCAGGGUAGUGUGUGUGUGUGUGUGUGUGUGUGACAUCAGGGCAGUGGGUGUGUGAGAGAGAUCAGGGCAGUGUGUAUGUGUAUGUGUGAGAUCAGGGCAGUGUGCGUGUGUGUGUGUGUGUGACAUCAGGGCAGUGUGUCUGUGUGCAUGAGUGUGUGAGAUCAGGGCAGUGUGUGUGCAUGAGUGUGAUAUCAGGGCAGUAUGUGUGUGUCUGUGUGUGUGUGUAUGAUAUCAGGGCAGUGUGUGUGUGUCUGUGUGUGAGGUUAGGGCAGUGUGUGUUUGUGUGCAUGAGUGUGUGAGAUCAGGACAGUAUGUGAGAGAGAGAGAUCAGGGCAAAGGGCAGUGUUUGUGUGAGAUUAGGGCAGAGUGUGUGUGUGUGUGUAUGAGAUCAGGGCAGUGUGUGUGUGUGUGCAUGAGUGUGUGAGAUCAGGGUAGUGUGUGUGUGUGACAUCAGGGCAGUGUUUGUGUGUUUGUGUGAGAUCAGGGCAGUGUGUGUGUGUGCACGAGUGUGUGAGAUCACGGAAGUGUGUGUGUCAGGUCACCACAGUGUAUGUGCGGGUAUGCGUGUGUGUGUGCACAGGGAACACACGGACAGCCAUUCCAAGUACACACUCUCCUUGGGUAAAUCUGUGAGUAAUCAUUGCUCCAGCAGUGAGAGCCCGUGAGGGUGGUGCAGGAAGACUGUGGCCUGCCUCCUGAGGGAAGCAUUAAAAAAACAGUCAAAGGAAAACGAACUCAGCUCUCCCAGGGUGGAGGACGUGGAGGUGGGCAGCCAGGGAACAAAUCUGGUUGCUGCGAGCCUGUCAGAAAGGGCCCUAGUGCCCUGCCAGGAGGAAGGACUCUGGGCCAUGAGCAUGAUGGUCUUUGAAGGCCAGGAGAGCUAGCCUACCCCAGCUCUGCCACUAACUGUGCGACUCACGGUCACAUGAUGAUACCUCCUGGGCCCCAUAUACUUUAUCUGCAAAUGGGAAGAAGCACAGCCUCUGUGUCCACAGUGCUGUUGAGGUUGGAUCGGGGCUAACUGGCAAUCAGACAUGUGUCUAUAAAUGCCGGCGAGCCAGGCAGAGCCCAGGCCUGAGAGUCCACCAGGGUGGCAGGCCUUAAUCCGCGCUGCACAGAUCUGU
rnacentral:lncRNA from 10 species